rnacentral:rRNA from 1 species
UCAGCAGCCGCGGUAAUACGUAGGGUGCAAGCGUUAAUCGGAAUUACUGGGCGUAAAGCGUGCGCAGGCGGUCCGUUAAGACAGAUGUGAAAUCCCCGGGCUUAACCUGGGAACUGCAUUUGUGACUGGCGGACUCGAGUAUGGCAGAGGGGGGUAGAAUUCCACGUGUAGCAGUGAAAUGCGUAGAGAUGUGGAGGAAUACCGAUGGCGAAGGCAGCCCCCUGGGCCAAUACUGACGCUCAUGCACGAAAGCGUGGGGAGCAAACAGGAUUAGAUACCCUGGUAGUCCACGCCCUAAACGAUGUCAACUGGUUGUCGGGCCUUCAUUGGCUUGGUAACGAAGCUAACGCGUGAAGUUGACCGCCUGGGGAGUACGGUCGCAAGAUUAAAACUCAAAGGAAUUGACGGA